rnacentral:rRNA from 1 species
UUGAACGCUGGCGGCAUGCUUUACACAUGCAAGUCGAACGGUAACAGGUUAAGCUGACGAGUGGCGAACGGGUGAGUAAUGCAUCGGAACGUGCCCGAUCGUGGGGGAUAACGCAGCGAAAGCUGCGCUAAUACCGCAUACGAUCUGAGGAUGAAAGCGGGGGACCGUAAGGCCUCGCGCGAUCGGAGCGGCCGAUGUCAGAUUAGGUAGUUGGUGGGGUAAAGGCUCACCAAGCCGACGAUCUGUAGCUGGUCUGAGAGGACGACCAGCCACACUGGGACUGAGACACGGCCCAGACUCCUACGGGAGGCAGCAGUGGGGAAUUUUGGACAAUGGGCGCAAGCCUGAUCCAGCAAUGCCGCGUGCAGGAAGAAGGCCUUCGGGUUGUAAAGCUCUUUUGUCAGGGAAGAAAAGGUAUCCUCUAAUACAGGGUGCUCAUGACGGUACCUGAAGAAUAAGCACCGGCUAACUACGU